rnacentral:rRNA from 1 species
AGAGUUUGAUCAUGGCUCAAGAACGAACGCUGGCGGCAUGCCUAACACAUGCAAGUCGAACGAGACCUUCGGGUCUAGUGGCGCACGGGUGCGUAACGCGUGGGAAUCUACCCUUGGGUUCGGAAUAACUCAGAGAAAUUUGAGCUAAUACCGGAUGAUGUCGCAAGACCAAAGAUUUAUCGCCCAAGGAUGAGCCCGCGUAGGAUUAGCUUGUUGGUGAGGUAAAAGCUCACCAAGGCGACGAUCCUUAGCUGGUCUGAGAGGAUGAUCAGCCACACUGGGACUGAGACACGGCCCAGACUCCUACGGGAGGCAGCAGUGGGAAUAUUGGACAAUGGGCGAAAGCCUGAUCCAGCAAUGCCGCGUGAGUGAUGAAGGCCUUAGGGUUGUAAAGCUCUUUUACCCGGGAUGAUAAUGACAGUACCGGGAGAAUAAGCCCCGGCUAACUCCGUG